ACGAUGCUGUAUCAGCUGCAAGUGGCCUGAGUAGAGCUUUCCUCACUCUUUUGUAAUAUCUGUGUACUUAGGAGAAACUACUGUGAGCUGUGGCAGCUACUUCAAUGACAUUUAGAGACCAGGAAAGUCCUGGCAAUCAUUCAGGCAGUGUAUUUAGAAAGGAUUAAAUCUGUCCGAAAGUGUCAUCUGAAAAACUCAGUUCUAUGGGAUGCAGAGCACUGGAAGAAGCAUUGGUCUUGGAAAUCUGAAGAUGUCCUAGUGCACUGGAAGAACCUGGCAACUUUCAAGAAACUUAAGAAAGAAGACCAUGAUAUUUACAUAUCUGUUAGUCUCACUGGUAAAAUUAUGGAAAGAAUUAUUUUCAAGUUUAUUUUCUGGACAAAAUACUCAACCUACAGCUAGACAAGUAUGCAAUAUGAAUA